rnacentral:rRNA from 1 species
GUCUACGGCCAUGCCACCCUGAACAAGCCCGAUGUCUGAUCUCAGAAGCUAAGCAGGGUCAGGCCUGGUUAGUACUUGGAUGGGAGACCACCUAGGAAGACCAGGUGCUGUAGGUA